AGGCCAACACAACAUGGCCAUCCAAUCAAUGUCCCUGAUUCCAGGUCAGUUGAAGAGGCCAACACAACAUGGCCAUCCAAUCAAUGUCCCUGAUUCCAGGUCAGUUGAAGAGGCCAACACAACAUGGCCAUCCAAUCAAUGUCCCUGAUUCCAGGUCAGUUGAAGAGGCCAACACAACAUGGCCAUCCAAUCAAUGUCCCUGAUUCCAGGUCAGUUGAAGAGGCCAACACAACAUGGCCAUCCAAUCAAUGUCCCUGAUUCCAGGUCAGUUGAAGAGGCCAACACAACAUGGCCAUCCAAUCAAUGUCCCUGAUUCCAGGUCAGUUGAAGAGGCCAACACAACAUGGCCAUCCAAUCAAUGUCCCUGAUUCCAGGUCAGUUGAAGAGGCCAACACAACAUGGCCAUCCAAUCAAUGUCCCUGAUUCCAGGUCAGUUGAAGAGGCCAACACAACAUGGCCAUCCAAUCAAUGUCCCUGAUUCCAGGUCAGUUGAAGAGGCCAACACAACAUGGCCAUCCAAUCAAUGUCCCUGAUUCCAGGUCAGUUGAAGA